rnacentral:rRNA from 1 species
GUAGGUGGCAAGCGUUGUCCGGGAAUUAUUGGGGCGUAAAGCGCGCGCAGGCGGUUCUUUAAGUCUGAUGUGGAAGCCCACGGGCUCAACCGUGGAGGGUCAUUGGAAACUGGAGAACUUGAGUACAGAAGAGGAAAGCGGAAUUCCACGUGUAGCGGUGAAAUGCGUAGAGAUGUGGAGGAACACCAGUGGCGAAGGCGGCUUUCUGGUCUGUAACUGACGCUGAGGCGCGAAAGCGUGGGGAGCAAACAGGAUUAGAUACCCUGGUAGUCCACGCCGUAAACGAUGAGUGCUAAGUGUUAGGGGGUUUCCGCCCCUUAGUGCUGCAGCUAACGCAUUAGGCACUCCGCCUGGGGAGUACGGCCGCAAAGGCUGA